rnacentral:lncRNA from 1 species
UAAUUUUGAACCAACAGACCUCUGCUGGCAUCUGCGAUUGCAUUUUUCCUGUUUUAACAACGGCUGUGCUAGACGAAGUGGUGAAGCCCAAAGACUUAUUUUUGAGCUCGCUGUAAGACUGAGAAAUCACGUAGUCCUUCCUGAAACCACUAAGAGGAAAAAUGUCUGUGACACUGCAUACAGAUGUAGGUGAUAUUAAAAUUGAAGUCUUCUGUGAGAGGACACCCAAAACAUGUGAGAUGGAGUCUCGCUGUGUCCCCCAGGCUGGAGUACAAUGGCGCGAUCUCGGCUCACUGCAACCUCCGCCUCCUGGGUUCAAGCAAGUCUUCUGCCUCAGCCUCCCGAGUAAGUGGGAUUACAGGCGUGCGCCACCAUGCCUGGCUAAUUUUUGUAUUUUUAGUAGAGACAGGGUUUCACCAUGUUGGUCAGGCUGGUCUCAAACUUCUAACCUCAGGUGAUCCAUGCACCUCAGCCUCCCAAAGUGCUGGGAUUACAAGCAUGAGCCACUGCACCUGGCCUUUUUUUUUUUUUUUUUUUUCUCAAGACGGAGUCUUGCUCUGUCACCCAGGCUGGAGUGCAGUGGCAUGAUCUUGGCUCACUGCAACCUUCGCCUCUGGGGUUCAAACGAUUCUCCUGCCUCAGCCUCCCAAGUACCUGGGAUUACAGGCACCCACCACCAUGCCCAGCUAAUUUUUAUAUUUUUUU